rnacentral:rRNA from 1 species
UACGUAGGUGGCAAGCGUUGUCCGGAUUUAUUGGGUUUAAAGGGUGCGUAGGCGGCUUUGUAAGUCAGUGGUGAAAUAUGGCAGCUCAACUGUCAAAGGUGCCAUUGAUACUGCGGAGCUUGAGUACAGAUGAGGUAGGCGGAAUUGACGGUGUAGCGGUGAAAUGCUUAGAUAUCGUCAAGAACACCUAUAGCGAAGGCAGCUUACUAGGCUGUAACUGACGCUGAGGCACGAAAGUGUGGGGAUCAAACAGG